rnacentral:rRNA from 1 species
CGGUGUUUAACUGGCGUGAUGUGGGACGUCCUACCGGUGGGCUUAGCCUCGCGAGGGGCGGCCCAACUAAUAUCCCGUCGCGGUGCUCUUUACUGAGUGUCGAGUCGGGCCGGUACGUUUACUUUGAACAAAUUAGAGUGCUUAAAGCAGGCUAUCCUCGCCUGAAUACUGCGUGCAUGGAAUAAUGGAAUAGGACCUCGGUUCUAUUUUGUUGGUUUUCGGAACCCCGAGGUAAUGAUUAAUAGGGACAGAUGGGGGCAUUCGUAUUGCGACGUUAGAGGUGAAAUUCUUGGAUCGUCGCAAGACGGACAGAAGCGAAAGCAUUUGCCAAAAAUGUUUUCAUUAAUCAAGAACGAAAGUUAGAGGUUCGAAGGCGAUCAGAUACCGCCCUAGUUCUAACCAUAAACGAUGCCAGCUAGCGAUCCGCCGAAGUUCCUCCGAUGACUCGGCGGGCAGCUUCCGGGAAACCAAAGCUUUUGGGUUCCGGGGGAAGUAUGGUUGCAAAGCUGAAACUUAAAGGAAUUGACGGAAGGGCACCACCAGGGGUGGAGCCUGCGGCUUAAUUUGACUCAACACGGGAAACCUCACCAGGCCCAGACACCGGAAGGAUUGACAGAUUGAUAGCUCUUUCUUGAUUCGGUGGGUGGUGGUGCAUGGCCGUUCUUAGUUGGUGGAGCGAUUUGUCUGGUUAAUUCCGAUAACGAACGAGACUCUAGCCUGCUAAAUAGGCGUACCUUAUGGUAUCGCGAAGGCCCCCGGCUUCGGCCGGUGGGUUUUUACUACCAACGUACAAACAAAUCUUCUUAGAGGGACAGGCGG